UCUAAGUUCGGAUUGCAGGCUGCAACCCGCCUGCAUGAAGUCGGAAUCGCUAGUAAUCGCGAGUCAGCAUAUCGCGGUGAAUACGUUCCCGGGUCUUGUACACACCGCCCGUCACACCAUGGGAGUUGGCAACACCCGAAGUCGAUGAGCUAACCUUUUAGGAGGCAGUCGCCUAAGGUGGGGUUGAUAACUGGGGUGAAGUCGUAACAAGGUAUC
rnacentral:rRNA from 1 species